rfam:Brugia pahangi genome assembly, scaffold: BPAG_contig0005110
GUGGUCAAAUUGAUUACAGGUGCCAAAAACAUAUUUGGGUAUGUUGGUCGGUUCACUUUGUGCGCUAAUGGGAGUAUUAACAAUUGCACUUCCAGUUCCGGUCAUCGUCUCCAAU